rnacentral:rRNA from 1 species
GAUGAACGCUGGCGGCGUGCCUAAUACAUGCAAGUCGAGCGAACAGACGAGAGUGCUUGCACUCUCUGACGUUAGCGGCGGACGGGUGAGUAACACGUGGGUAACCUACCUAUAAGACUGGGAUAACUUCGGGAAACCGGAGCUAAUACCGGAUAAUAUUUAGCUUCGCAUGUAGCAAUAGUGAAAGACGGUUCUGCUGUAACUUAUAGAUGGACCCGCGGUGUAUUAGCUAGUUGGUGAGGUAACGGCUCACCAAGGCAACGAUACAUAGCCGACCUGAGAGGGUGAUCGGCCACACUGGGACUGAGACACGGCCCAGACUCCUACGGGAGGCAGCAGUAGGGAAUCUUCCGCAAGGGACGAAAGUCUGACGGAGAAAUGCCGAGUGAGUGAAGAAGGUUUUCGGAUCGUAAAACUCUGUUGUAAGGGAAGAACAAGUACGUUAGUAACUGAACGUACCUUGACGGUACCUUACCAGAAAGCCACGGCUAACUACGUG